CCAAUAGCGUAUAUUAAAGUUGUUGCAGUUAAAAAGCUCGUAGUUGAAUUUCGGGAUCAAUAUUUCGGUCAUGCCGUUGGUAUGUACUGGUCUCACUGAUUCCUCCUUCCUGAUGAGCUGUAAUGCCAUUAAUUUGGUGUUGCAGGGAAUCUGGGCUGUUACUUUGAAAAAAUUAGAGUGUUUAAAGCAGGCUAACGCUUGAAUACAUUAGCAUGGAAUAAUGAAAUAGGACGUUCGAUCCUAUUUUGUUGGUUUCUAGGAUUGACGUAAUGAUUAAUAGGGAUAGUUGGGGGCAUUAGUAUUCAAUUGUCAGAGGUGAAAUUCUUGGAUUUAUUGAAGACUAACUACUGCGAAAGCAUUUGCCAAGGAUGUUUUCAUUAAUCAAGAACGAAAGUUAGGGGAUCGAAGACGAUCAGAUACCGUCGUAGUCUUAACCAUAAACUAUGCCGACUAGGGAUCGGAUGAUGUUAAUUUUUUAAUGACUCAUUCGGCGCCUUACG
rnacentral:rRNA from 1 species